ACCUCCUGUGUGGAGGGGAGAGCGCAGAAGAUGAAGACGUGACCUUGCCUGCCCUCCAGAGUCUAGCUCUCUCAUGGGGACCUCGGGGCGGGGGCAGAAAGGGAAUCUGCAUGGAUAAUGCAAAGAUUGCUGUCCCACCUAGGGCCUCCCUCUAUGAGCAUACUUAUCUUUCCAAGACAAGCAGCCCGGGAAGCAAGAAUCUGUCUCCCCAUAGCCAGGUGUCCCCUUAGAGUCCUCAGCUAAGUUGCAUCAGUAACUGUUUGUCAAAGAAAGGCCCACAGGAGGUAAAUGGGACUUGAGAUUUAGAGGCUGAAUCACUGACUCAGCGUCCAAGCCCUUCUGGAAAGCAGCCAGUGCAGAGAAUGGACGCAUCUCCCACGCAGUCGGGUGUCUGGCUCCCCAUAUAGCCCCGGCUGCCCCAGCUCACCAGCCCAUGGAGUAGGCUCCACAGAGCCACUGAGCUGAUGUGUGUUUUCAUGCCGCGCGUGGUGUUGCUUUGCUUCUGCAGGCUCAUUACGGGGAAAUGGGCUGUCAACAUGGCAUCAGAAGAGAACAGAAGGAAAACGAGCUAAUUUCCUGGUUGUGGACAUAAUGGGGGAUUCUUACCUUUGCAGGCUGCUGUUUGCAUGGGGAAUUUGCAGGGCAAUCCCAGGGCUGGAGGGCUAUGCAGUUCUCAGGCUGAUGAGACAGUUUGCAGGAAUUGUGUCUGGUGGGGCCAAAUGGUUUAUGCAAUGUGUUCUAAUGGCCCCAUCAGAGUGCUUGUGAGACCAUUGUCCCCUUACAACAGAUGGGCAAGGACACAGCCAUCCUCACUCCCAAUCAAGAGCACCUGGGACAGAAACCAAAAGGACAGAACAUUCUCAGGUGCCCCUGCUCUGCCCUGCCUAUCACUCCCUUCUUGGGAGCUGCCUCUAACCCACCAGGAAGCAGCUCUACCUAGUCUGAGGUAGAGAGGUUCCUGGGGCACUUGCUCACGGAAGACCUCGAACCUGCUCAUGGAGAAUUCCAGACCCAGAGGCCUGAAAAUCAGGGAGCAACAAACUGCGGGCUUCUCCUCUUCCCUGCAUGUUCUCCAAUUUGUCCUCCUCCCUAUGCCUCCAGCUCACACUGGCCUCUUCCUCUUCUUACUCCUUCCCCAUACUCUGCAGGGCAGGGUGGGGCGGGGGGAACGAAGCAAGGACCUCAGAGACAGAAGGUUAAGGUUGGGACCUGCUCUGCCAUCCUGAGCUGUGUGAUCUUGGGCAACUCACUUGAUUUCUCUGGGGCACCAUCUUCUCCAUGUAAAACGAGCCCUGUUAGCUGGACCAUUUUGCAGACGAAAAACCUCAGACCUGGGGAAAGGAUGUGGUUUGCCCAAGGUCACAUGGCAGGAUUUCAGCCUCCUUCAACUGGCUCGUUAGUCCAUGUGGACUUGUCCAUCUAUGCUGGGACAACCAAACUCAGCUGGGCUCAUGAGAGGGACCUUGAGGAACCUCCACAAUCAGAAGGAGACAAUGCAGUCCAGCACCCCCUCCAGGCUCUGACCACCAGAUCCGCCGACCAGACCUGCUUUGGGUCCACCCCAGUCGCAAUGAUGCUGGCUGUCCACACACUCAACUCUACUCUCUGGCUGUGCGACCCGAGUGCUGGUCUAGACACUUCCUACCCAUCACCUGGAGCUGGGAGAUGGCAUUGGAGUUGGCAAAACAGAAGGCUGGAGCCAUGGCGCUGAUGAGCAAGCAUGGUGGCCUGGACCCCAGCCUGGAUGGAGGCCACAUGAAAACCACUGAGGGACGAUGACCCCCUGUGUCCAUGUGGCUGGUAUUUCCUUUACAGACUUUCCCCAUUCUCAUCUCGUCUUGGUCAAACCGUGGAACAUUGGCCUAGGUCAAACUCAUUCUUCACUGUGGCCAAUUAAUUUCAUUUGGCCAUCAAUUGGUACAGGUUUGCUAAUGAAAAAGAACUGGGCAGUUGUUCAUAAUUCUAAAAGUGGAGAGGUAAAAAGAAUUUAAGCGAUGCCUGCCAUGUUAUUGUAUUAAUAUGGUUCUACAUUUAUUGCCUGUUUUUUUUUUUUAAAGAUGAAUUUUUAGACCUGUUUUAGGUUUACAAUAAAAUCGAGAGGAAGGUACAGAGAUUUCCCAUAUACUCCCUGCCCUCACACAUGCACAGUCUCCCCAAUUAUCAACAUAUUACUCACCAGAAUGGUACAUUUUUUGCAAAGGAUGAACCUACAUUAAUACAUCAUAAUCAUUUAAAGUCCAUAGUUUACCUUAGGGUUCACUCUUGGUGUUGUACAUUCUCUAGGUUUAGAUGAAUGUGUAAUGACAUAUAUUCAUCAUUAUAAUAUCAUACCAAGUGUUUUCACUGACCUACAAAUCCUCCGUAUUCAGCCAAUUCACCUGCCUCCUCCUCAACCCAGCAAACACUCAUCCGUUUAUUGUCUCCACAGUUUUGCCUUUUCCAGAAUGUCAUAUAGUUGGAAUCAUAUUGUAUGUAGCAUUUUCAGAUUAGUUUCUUUCACUUAAUA